AUGGUGUUUCCUCUUUUACAGGUUUUGAUGGAUUUCACAGUUUUGGGGAUUGAAAUACCGACUCCAGGUACAGAGGUAGAUGACAAAGAAUUCUUCAAUCUCUUAUCAUCUAAGAGGCAAGCAUCAUCGCGAGUUUCAUCUUCAUCAUCAGAGAUAAACGGUGGUUUAUAUUCGUGGAUCACGAUCAAGAUUCAACACAAAACACGUCAAAUAUCGCCUGUUCCCGUCAUUUUUGAGCAUUGUCGACCCAUUUCCGGUCCUCUUUUAGGUCGUUUCCGGUCUGCUUCAAGGUCCUCAACUGAUCAAUGGGUAUUUUGGAAUGUUGAUAAUUCGAUUUUUUACAGCUUGAGGUUGAAUCGGGAAAGAAAUAUGGACUAUUGGUCAGCUCCUAUUGCCGACCUCCUGUGAGAACAUGUAACAAUUAAUCUUUUAUCGCCAUUUUUGAGCCGUUCCGGCCCAUUUCCGGUCUGAUCAAAGGUCCUCAACUGAGAUUGGUGGGGAUUGGAAUUUUGAUGAUUCUAUUUUAUACAUUUCAAUGCUAAACUGGAGAAAAUAUUUCAUUUGAUAUGUCUACCUUUGGUACUUUUUGAGGUACUUUGGUACAACAAAGGUGUAAGAAAUCGUGGGUUUUCACUAUUUUUUAAUCACUAUAGGGGCCAAUUUUUAUCAUUAUAUUCCCUUAAUUAUCCGAUGUCAUUCGCUAAAAGUAUUUUAGGUGAAAGUCUAUAUCUCGAGCUUGAAGUAGAGGAAAAAAUGUAAAAAUGAGGGAUUGUGAUGAAUGGCCAAAAAAUAGGAUCUUUUAAAAAAUCCGAAAUUACGGUCAUUUCACUUAUGCCUGGGUCAAUUUUAAUGGCAUACUCAGAAUUUUCGUAAAAACUUGUUCCAUAGCACUUUUUGGAAAUAUGAUACAUAAAUAUCAAGACAGUAUCACGACGGAAAAUCGAAUAUAGUGGGAAGUCGAGAAAAUGGAAUUCGCAAGAACGUGCUCUUUCAAACAUAGCUGAAAUCAACUCAUCUUUGCGGAUCGAUAUCCCGCGAACUGAGCGUCAAAGAGGAAAUUCCUGCAAAUUAUAUAUUUUCUUAGCGAGCGAUGUAAAGACAAAAAAAACCAUUUUUGAGCUACAUCGGACGGGGUUUGGUUCCGGUCCUAGUUAAGCUGACGUGGAAUGACACCAAUUGAUAUGGUUAGUAGCGUGGCGUAGUGAUAGCGUAGUGUUUAUAUUUAGUUUGAGAAUAAUUUGAGAUCUGCAAUUAUUAUUGAAAAGGUAUCAAUAUGCGCUGAUAAUUAUUAUAUUGCGGGUACUUUUAUUGAUAUUGCUGUUUUCUCCUAUUUAAAAAAAAAAUAACUUGGAAGUCAAAUAAUAAUACAAGUAUAAUAAUGCAAGCUAUGAGCAAUUAAUUCUUAACUACAAACUUUUAAUUUUAAAUUCGUAUAUGCUUUGAACCGUCUGAAGAAAUGGCGAGGCGUGAGUGAUCGAUUAUCAAUAUUUCCCCAUUUAGUCCAGUCAUUCUAGCUUUUUACCUCGGACAAAUUAGCACAAACUUUUCCUUUGGUAUAUAGGGUCUCUAGGUACCCAUUAAGACAGAAAAAAAAGUUUACAAAAAAUUCCACCGGGAAAGUGGUCAAAUCGCAGUUUUUCAAAAUGGCGGCUUACGACGAUUUUCAAAGAGGACGUACAUACGGUUUUCCCUUUAUAACUCAAAAAUAAUGCGUCAAACAAAAAA
rnacentral:lncRNA from 1 species